rnacentral:lncRNA from 1 species
CAAAAUCAAGUGACAAAAUUUGAAAAAAAAAAUAGUUGGGUAAAAAAAUGCAUGAAAAUUUGAAAGUUUUGAGACAAAAUAUGCAAAUUUUAUCGUUCAGAAGCAAAAUACGGGAAAAGUGAAAAAUGGUUGAAAAAAGUGUAAUUAAGCCUUUGAUUCAGUGGAAAAAUUCGCAAGUAAGAAAUUGGAGCUUUUGAUUCAAUUGUCGUUUGGAGUCUUCUAAAGUUAAAUCAAACACACAUUAGGAAAUUAACAACUCAUGUAUCAUGCUUAAUUGAGUAAACUAGAUCCUUGCUAAUUUUAUUGGCAGAUACUUAGUUAACAAAUUUAUACAUGUAUGUAUAUUGACCUUACAAACUGAGUGGUGAGUCAAGUUUUUGCAACCAUGCAAAGGUGUGAGCACAUACUCUAUGACACCUUCCUAUUCUCCACCAACACAAGCGACAGUGCGAGGUUCACCUCCGGUGUGUACAACACGUCGUGGUUGCAGUGCAUAAGGAUGUAGUUGUCGCUAAUUGCGAACAAGAACCGACAACAAAGGCAUGGCUGUUGACAAUGGCGAUGGUCGACAUAGGGAGAGACAUGAGCACCAUGUGGGGAGGACAGAGGGAGGGAGGUGCUUUAGGGUUUGAGAGUGGGGUGAGGUGCCUGGUGAGUGAGUAAAAGAGAUAAAAGAGGGUAUGUAUUUUUAUUCCUUCAAGUUGUUUCAUGUUUCUCUAGGGUGCAGGAAGAAAAAUUAGGUACAGGAAGCAAUGGCCCAAUCAUAGAAGACAAAACAACAAUGAGACAAAUGCCCAAUCAUCUUAGAAUGGCAAGUGGGUUGUAUUGUAAGUUUCAAAGCAAUUUGUCUUACCGAAGCAUGUGGAAUCUCCUUUUCCUUAACCAUUCACAUUAAGCUACCUUUUCUUUCACAUUUUUUUUAUUGGCGUGCUUUCAUUCCUAAAGGUAUUCUCUUUCAAUAGUGGCCAUCACUGCUGGGAUCUCUUUCAUUCAAGGCUAUCAUGAUUGGAAAGUGAUUUUUUUUUUCAUAGCAGCAUGUACUUUAGUGACAAG